rnacentral:rRNA from 1 species
UACGUAGGGGGCAAGCGUUGUCCGGAAUCAUUGGGCGUAAAGAGCGUGUAGGCGGUUCGGUAAGUCGGCUGUGAAAGUCCAGGGCUCAACCCUGGGAUGCCGGUCGAUACUGCCGGACUAGAGUUCGGAAGAGGCGAGUGGAAUUCCCGGUGUAGCGGUGAAAUGCGCAGAUAUCGGGAGGAACGCCUAUGGCGAAGGCAGCUCGCUGGGACGUUACUGACGCUGAGACGCGAAAGCGUGGGGAGCAAACAGG